rnacentral:rRNA from 1 species
UACGUAGGGUGCAAGCGUUGUCCGGAGUUAUUGGGCGUAAAGAGCUCGUAGGCGGUUUGUUGCGUCGGCUGUGAAAUCCCGAGGCUCAACCUCGGGUCUGCAGUCGAUACGAGCAAACUAGAGUGUUGCAGGGGAGACUGGAAUUCCUGGUGUAGCGGUGAAAUGCGCAGAUAUCAGGAGGAACACCGGUGGCGAAGGCGGGUCUCUGGGCAACAACUGACGCUGAGGAGCGAAAGCGUGGGGAGCGAACAGG